rnacentral:rRNA from 1 species
GACGAACGCUGGCGGCGUGCUUAACACAUGCAAGUCGAACGGAAAGGCCCCUUCGGGGGUACUCGAGUGGCGAACGGGUGAGUAACACGUGGGUGAUCUGCCCUGCACUUCGGGAUAAGCCUGGGAAACUGGGUCUAACACCGGAUAGGACCACGGGAUGCAUGUCCUGUGGUGGAAAGCUUUUGCGGUGUGGGAUGGGCCCGCGGCCUAUCAGCUUGUUGGUGGGGUGACGGCCUACCAAGGCGACGACGGGUAGCCGGCCUGAGAGGGUGUCCGGCCACACUGGGACUGAGAUACGGCCCAGACUCCUACGGGAGGCAGCAGUGGGGAAUAUUGCACAAUGGGCGCAAGCCUGAUGCAGCGACGCCGCGUGGGGGAUGACGGCCUUCGGGUUGUAAACCUCUUUCAGCAGGGACGAAGCGCAAGUGACGGUACCUGCAGAAGAAGCACCGGCCAACUACGUGCCAGCAGCCGCGGUAAUACGUAGGGUGCGAGCGUUGUCCGGAAUUACUGGGCGUAAAGAGCUCGUAGGUGGUUUGUCGCGUUGUUCGUGAAAACCGGGGGCUUAACCCUCGGCGUGCGGGCGAUACGGGCAGACUGGAGUACUGCAGGGGAGACUGGAAUUCCUGGUGUAGCGGUGGAAUGCGCAGACAUCAGGAGGAACACCGGUGGCGAAGGCGGGUCUCUGGGCAGUAACUGACGCUGAGGAGCGAAAGCGUGGGGAGCGAACAGGAUUAGAUACCCUGGUAGUCCACGCCGUAAACGGUGGGUACUAGGUGUGGGUUUCCUUCCUUGGGAUCCGUGCCGUAGCUAACGCAUUAAGUACCCCGCCUGGGGAGUACGGCCGCAAGGCUAAAACUCAAAGGAAUUGACGGGGGCCCGCACAAGCGGCGGAGCAUGUGGAUUAAUUCGAUGCAACGCGAAGAACCUUACCUGGGUUUGACAUGCACAGGACGCCGGCAGAGAUGUCGGUUCCCUUGUGGCCUGUGUGCAGGUGGUGCAUGGCUGUCGUCAGCUCGUGUCGUGAGAUGUUGGGUUAAGUCCCGCAACGAGCGCAACCCUUGUCUCAUGUUGCCAGCGGGUAAUGCCGGGGACUCGUGAGAGACUGCCGGGGUCAACUCGGAGGAAGGUGGGGAUGACGUCAAGUCAUCAUGCCCCUUAUGUCCAGGGCUUCACACAUGCUACAAUGGCCGGUACAAAGGGCUGCGAUGCCGCGAGGCUUAGCGAAUCCUUUUAAAGCCGGUCUCAGUUCGGAUCGGGGUCUGCAACUCGACCCCGUGAAGUCGGAGUCGCUAGUAAUCGCAGAUCAGCAACGCUGCGGUGAAUACGUUCCCGGGCCU